UAUGUAAUUAAGAAAACCAACCUCCUUCGCUGAAGUUGAAGUUCAGUUUCUCCAGCACCACUAAUAAACCCGCAUCCACCACUUCCUCUCAUGCUGGCAAAACAUAUCAGAUCAUAGUCUUUCAAUGCUUAAAUCUUUUUUUUUACAGCUUAGAAACAGGGCGAUGUAUUUACCCCUGGGCACUAACAACUUCAGAUUCUCCAGAACUUCCAAAAGUAAGGCGUUCAUCUGAGCCCCGUACACGAACAAGUCUGGUCUUCUUAUUAUACGAUAUUGCUGCUAAUUCAGCCUAUAAGAAAAGUAUGUCCUUCAAUGCAAACCCCACAUGUUGAAAAUAAAAACUUUUACAAUAUGCAAGAAAGUCUACCAACAACACCAUUACCUGCAACUUUCCCUCUUUUGUAUAUGCAUGAGCAUUAAAUAUCUCAAUUAUAAGACCCACACGAUCCAACACCGGUUUGUCCCAUGUUCUCUGCCAUUCAUUCAAUUGUGUAAUAAUUUGAAACUUAAGAGAUUAGAAUAUUGGUUGGUUUUGCAUAAUUUAGACAAGAUUCUUCUGCUAAAAUGCUAUGUCACGGCUCAUUAUGCACAUUUAUUCAUAAUUCAUAUUCCAUAAGCUUUGUCUCCUCAUAUGUGUAAUUUCAAUUUUUCUUUUCUUAGAAUAAAACAAUUUCAUUUAAUUAACUGGAGAGGAUUUUAAAAGAGUGCCUCAAAGUACCGCCCCUAAAUCACUGGGACACAACCCAGAAAAACAGAAGCAAGUCAAGUCUAUCAAGACCAAAUUCCAAAAAAGAAACUGGAACAGAAUGAAGCAACUUACCAAUUGAAGUUAGUAACUUACCAUGAUGAUGUAAUAUUAUUCGCAUCAGGUGGCAUUGAAAAGGCAGGAUAAUAUGUCAGAUCAUAAUAGUAUUUCUCUUUAGGGUUUAGUGUUCUUGCUUUCAUAUCCUAAGAAGAGUUAGCAUUUAAUUCAUUGUAUAUUAGAUACAUUUCUAGUUGCAGUUGUCUCAUUUAUGGCUGCUUAAUUUUGUUGGUGUUCAAUAGUUUCUCCUUUCAAACGUAAUUUAAGAAUUAUAGAACGGCGGAGAAUGUUAUUAUCACAAAUUGAAGAGGUUCGUCGUACUCGAGCAUUGCGACGGGCUGCUCGCAAGAGACGUGGUGGCUCAGAUGGUCAAGGUUUAGUAACUGUUGUUGUUGUUGGGUACACCAAUGCAGUAGGGGAAAUCUACACUAGUUGGUGCACUCUCAAACAGUGAUCUUUAUAGUGAUUGGCGACUCGUUGCAACAAUUGAUCCUGAUUAAGAAGUGUUGUUCUUCCAUCUGGGUAAUAUGUUUGAGAAUUACUUUUGUAAUUGCGUUUUAAAUUUUCAAUAAAAAAUUGAAGCUCGUCUGUAGUGUACGUUUAUUGAUUUUGCCAUGUUAAUAUAAUUCCUAAAAGAAGGUGCUUGUAAGUGAUACAGUAGGAUUGAAAAACAAGUUCAAUGAUUAUAUCCAUUCACAGUUUCACUAUCUCCAUGAUUAUUUUCUUUGUCACUAAUGAAAAUGCAAUCUAUUUCUUCAGUUAGUUGAAAUGUUUCAUGCAACUUUGGAAGAAGUGAUGGAAGCUGAUAUGCUUGUGGUAUGGUCACCCAAUUUCAAAUGUGAAAUAUGUAUAAGAGUAGAAACCUUAGAAGUGAAACUUGGACGAUCUGACUGUCAGUAUCGUUUAAGAGCCAAAUGAAUAAUUUCUGUAUCUUACCAAAACACAAGUAAAAUUGAUGAAUUACUUGAAGUUCACAAGCACUGACUAUUGUUUAGUUUUGUGAAUUAAGCACCUUUUCUCUUUGUUUUUCUUCAUGAAUGCUUUAGUGAUGGAAAUUUUAUGGACAUGUAUUUGUUUAAAAGAGGUUUUUACAGAUUUAAUUUUAUC